GCAAACGGGUGAGUACGCGUAGCAUCAUGCCCUGAGAUGGGACAACAGGCGAAAGCCCUGCUAAUCCUGAAUGUGUGCUUCCUCCGCAUGGAGGGAGCAUUAAAGACGGCCUCUAGUUGUAGGCCGUCACUCAGGGAUGGGCGUGCGUCUGAUUAGCUGGCUGGUGAGGUAUCGGCUCACCAGGGCGACGAUCAGUAGCCGGUCUGAGAGGAUGAACGGCCACAUUGGGACUGAGACACGGCCCAGACUCGUACGUGAGGCAGCAGUGGGGAAUCUUCCGCAAUGGGCGAAAGCCUGACGGAGCAACGCCGCGUGAGCGAAGAAGGCCUUCGGGUCGUAAAGCUCUGUUGUCGGGGACGAACGUGCCUGAGGCGAACAGCCUCAGGGAGUGACGGUACCUGGCGAGGAAGCCACGGCUAACUACGUGCCAGCAGCCGCGGUAAUACGUAGGUGGCAAGCGUUGUCCGGAAUCAUUGGGCGUAAAGGGAGCGCAGGCGGGAAGGUAAGCCGGUCUUAAAAGUGCGGGGCUCAACCCCGUGAGGGGAUCGGAACUAUCUUUCUUGAGUGCAGGAGAGGAAAGCGGAAUUCCCAGUGUAGCGGUGAAAUGCGUAGAUAUUGGGAGGAACACCAGUGGGGAAGGCGGCUUUUUGGACUGCAACUGACGCUGAGGCUCGAAAGCCAGGGGAGCGAACGGGAUUAGAUACCCCGGUAGUCCUGGCCGUAAACGAUGAAUGCUAGGUGUGGGAGGUAUCGACCCCUCCCGUGCCGGAGUCAACGCAAUAAGCAUUCCCCCUGGGGAGUACGGCCGCAAGGCUGAAACUCAAAGGAAUUGACGGGGGCCCGCACAAGCGGUGGAGUAUGUGGUUUAAUUUGACGCAACGCGAAGAACCUUACCAGGCCUUGACACUGAGCGAAAGGGCAAGAGAUGCCCCCUCCCU
rnacentral:rRNA from 1 species